GCCCAGGUGGCGAAAUUGGUAGACGCACCACCUUGAGGUGGUGGCGCUGGAAACGGCGUGCUGGUUCGAAUCCAGUCUUGGGCACAA
rnacentral:tRNA from 1 species